rnacentral:lncRNA from 1 species
GCGAGCACCAGCCACAGAUGGUCUAUUACACAACCGUGUGUUGUAAUACCUGGUGUGUGUUAGCUUUUAACUAGAUUUUGGGCCUAAAUCAUUCUCGAAGUUGGAAGACAAGCCUAUAUAUAUCCUUGAGAACUCUUUGGACGAGAUAUACUUUAAAUACUUCAUUAGCCAUCAUUAGAUACAUAUUUUCGAGCUCUUAGAGAGAGAAAGAGUUCCAGAGAGCGAUUGAAGCAAGAGUUCAUCAACGAUUGGAGACGGAUCGAAGAUCGGCGAUAAGACAGGGAUUGCUCGAACAACUUUAGCUUUUCGCAAUGUUCUAUGGCUUUUCAUCGAACACCUUUAGUGCAUUUCCUUUGGGUUACACUUUUUGGUGUUGGCAUGGAGAGUUGGAUAUUGGACAAUCAUCUCAGCAUGCUACAAUUCAAAUAGAGGUAGAUGAAUAAGUAAAUAUAGUGGAGAAUAUUGAAACUGAGUACCAUGAUAAUAUUGUAACUCAUGAU